rnacentral:rRNA from 1 species
CACUGCUAUCGGGGUUCGAUUAAGCCAUGCGAGUCGAGAGGGUUCAGACCCUCGGCGCACUGCUCAGUAACACGUGGAUAACCUACCCUGAGGAGGGGGAUAACCCCGGGAAACUGGGGAUAAUACCUCAUAGGUUUCAGAUGCUGGAAUGCUCUGAAACCGAAAUGCUCCGGCGCCUCAGGAUGGAUCUGCGGCCGAUUAGGUUGUUGUUGGGGUAACGGCCCAACAAGCCCGUCAUCGGUACGGGUUGUGAGAGCAAGAGCCCGGAGAUGGAUUCUGAGACACCAAUCCAGGCCCUACGGGGCGCAGCAGGCGCGAAACCUUUACAAUGCGAGCAAUCGUGAUAAGGGAACCCCGAGUGCCUGAAACCAGGCUGUUCAGGUGUUUAAAAAGCACCUGGAGAAAGGGCCGGGCAAGACCGGUGCCAGCCGCCGCGGUAAUACCGGCGGCUCGAGUGGUGGCCGCUAUUAUUGGGCUUAAAGCGUUCGUAGCUGGGUUGUUAAGUCUCUUGGGAAAUCUCACGGCUCAACCGUGAGGCGACUAAGAGAUACU